rnacentral:rRNA from 1 species
UACGGAGGUCUCAAGUGUUGUUCGGAUUCAUUGGGCGUAAAGGGUGCGUAGGUGGCGGGGUAAGUCAGGUGUGAAAUCUCGGGGCUCAACCCCGAAACUGCACUUGAUACUGCCUUGCUUGAGUACUGGAGAGGAGAUUGGAAUUUACGGUGUAGCAGUGAAAUGCGUAGAUAUCGUAAGGAAGACCAGUGGCGAAGGCGAAUCUCUGGACAGUUACUGACACUGAGGCACGAAGGCCAGGGGAGCAAACGGG